AACGAACGCUGGCGGCAUGCCUAACACAUGCAAGUCGAACGCGACCUUCGGGUCUAGUGGCGCACGGUUGCGUAACGCGUGGGAACCUGCCCUUAGGUUCGGAAUAACUCACCGAAGGGGGUGCUAAUGCCGCAAAAUGUCUUCGGACCAAAGAUUUAUCGUCUUUGGAUGGGCCCGCGUUGGAUUAGCUAGUUGGUAGGGUAAACGCCUAUCAAGGCGACGAUCCAUAGCUGGUCUGAGAGGAUGAUCAGCCACACUGGGACUGAGACACGGCCCAGACUCCUACGGAAGGCAGGAGUGGGGAAUAUUGAACAAUGGGCGAGAGCCUGAUGCUGCCAUGCCGCGUAAGUGAUGUAGGCCUUAGGGUUGUAAAGCUCUUUUAACCGGGAUGAUAGUGACAGUACCGGAAGAAUAAGCUCCGGCUAACUCCGUG
rnacentral:rRNA from 1 species